CACCGCCCGUCACAUCAUGAAAGCCGUUUGUACCCGAAGUCAUCACGCUAACCGCAAGGAAGCCGGUGCCGAAGGUAUGGAUGGUGAUUGGGAUG
rnacentral:rRNA from 1 species